UGUUUGGAAUGGAAAAGAAGCUGACAGCUGGUUCUGGAUCAGUGGUUCUAUCUGGAUGGAGCUUUACCUGAGAGUCAGAUCCUGCUGAGGGCUGAACUCAAGAUUCUUGAAUCCAAAAUGGUGGAUAUGAUCAGUGAAGGGACUCUGCCCUGCUCUGCCUUAAGAUCAUUAUCUGGAAACGGGCAGGUGAAGCUGUCUCUAUCAUACGCCUUGCAGGAGAGAAAGCUCAGCGUCAUCGUUCAUGGCUGCAGGGGUCUGACAUCUCAAAGUAAGGAGGGGGUAGACAGCUAUGUCUCCCUCAUGCUGCUGCCCGACAGAAACAAAGCCAGCAAGAGGAAGACAGCAGUGAAGAAAAGAGAUCUCAACCCAGAAUAUAACGAAAGGUAAUUCAUAAUCUUACUGGCUAUUUGAUUUU